rnacentral:tRNA from 1 species
GAUGGUCUGCCUUCAGUUGGUUAGAGUGUGGCGCUGGUAAGGCCAAGUUUGCAGGUUCGAUCCCUGUUUGGGACAUCU